GAUGAACGCUGGCGGCGUGCCUAAUACAUGCAAGUCGAGCGAACAGACGAGGAGCUUGCUCCUCUGACGUUAGCGGCGGACGGGUGAGUAACACGUGGAUAACCUACCUAUAAGACUGGGAUAACUUCGGGAAGCCGGAGCUAAUAACGGCUAAUAUAUUGAACCACAUGGUUCAAUAGUGAAAUACGGUUUUGCUGUCACUUAUAGAUGGAUCCGCGCCGCAUUAGCUAGUUGGUAAGGUAACGGCUUACCAAGGCGACGAUGCGUAGCCGACAUGAGAGGGUGAUCGGCCACACUGGAACUGAGACACGGUCCAGACGCCUACGGGAGGCAGCAGUAGGGAAUCUUCCGCAAAGGGCGAAAGCCUUACGGAGCAACGCCGCGUGAGUGAUGAAGGUCUUCGGAUCGUAAAACUCUGUUAUUAGGGAAGAACAAAUGUGUAAGUAACUAUGCACGUCUUGACGGUACCUAAUCAGAAAGCCACGGCUAACUACGUG
rnacentral:rRNA from 1 species